rnacentral:rRNA from 1 species
GGCUACGAGGACGAACGGCUGGCGGCGUGCCUAAUACAUGCAAGUCGAACGAACGGAUAAAGAGCUUGCUCUUUGAAGUUAGUGGCGGACGGGUGAGUAACACGUGGGUAACCUGCCUCACAGCUGGGGAUAACAUCGAGAAAUCGAUGCUAAUACCGAAUGUGCUGAACAUCAUAAGAUGUUCAAGUGAAAGACGGUUUCGGCUGUCACUGUGAGAUGGACCCGCGCUGGAUUAGCUAGUUGGUAAGGUAAUGGCUUACCAAGGCGACGAUCCAUAGCCGACCUGAGAGGGUGAUCGGCCACAUUGGGACUGAGACACGGCCCAAACUCCUACGGGAGGCAGCAGUAGGGAAUCUUCGGCAAUGGACGAAAGUCUGACCGAGCAACGCCGCGUGAGCGAAGAAGGCCUUCGGGUCGUAAAGCUCUGUUGUUAGAGAAGAACAUGGGUGAGAGUAACUGUUCACCCCUUGACGGUAUCUAACCAGAAAGCCACGGCUAACUACGUG